AUACGGAGGAUCCGAGCGUUAUCCGGAUUUAUUGGGUUUAAAGGGUGCGCAGGCGGCCAUUUAAGUCAGCGGUUAAAUCGUGGGGCUCAACCCCAUUCUGCCGUUGAUACUGGGUGGCUUGAUUGCGGUCGAGGUUGGCGGAAUUCGUUGUGUAGCGGUGAAAUGCAUAGAUAUGACGAAGAACACCGAUUGCGUAGGCAGCUGGCCAGACCGCAAAUGACGCUCAUGCACGAAAGUGCGGGGAUCGAACAGGAUUAGAUACCCUGGUAGUCCGCACAGUAAACGAAGAAUACUUGUUUUCGGCGAUAUAAUGUCGGAGGCAAAGCGAAAGCGAUAAGUAUUCCACCUGGGGAGUACGCCGGCAACGGUGAAACUCAAAGGAAUUGACGGGG
rnacentral:rRNA from 1 species